rnacentral:lncRNA from 1 species
GCAGAGAGGGAGCGCGCCUUGGCUCGCUGGCCUUGGCGGCGGCUCCUCAGGAGAGCUGGGGCGCCCACGAGAGGAUCCCUCACCCGGGUCUCUCCUCAGGGAUGACAUCAUCCGUCCACCUCCUUGUCUUCAAGGACCACCUCCUCUCCAUGCUGAGCUGCUGCCAAGGGGCCUGCUGCCCAUCUACACCUCACGAGGGCACUAGGAGCACGGUUUCCUGGAUCCCACCAACAUACAAAGCAGCCACUCACUGACCCCCAGGACCAGGAUGGCAAAGGAUGAAGAGGACCGGAACUGACCAGCCAGCUGUCCCUCUUACCUAAAGACUUAAACCAAUGCCCUAGUGAGGGGGCAUUGGGCAUUAAGCCCUGACCUUUGCUAUGCUCAUACUUUGACUCUAUGAGUACUUUCCUAUAAGUCUUUGCUUGUGUUCACCUGCUAGCAAACUGGAGUGUUUCCCUCCCCAAGGGGGUGUCAGUCUUUGUCGACUGACUCUGUCAUCACCCUUAUGAUGUCCUGAAUGGAAGGAUCCCUUUGGGAAAUUCUCAGGAGGGGGACCUGGGCCAAGGGCUUGGCCAGCAUCCUGCUGGCAACUCCAAGGCCCUGGGUGGGCUUCUGGAAUGAGCAUGCUACUGAAUCACCAAAGGCACGCCCGACCUCUCUGAAGAUCUUCCUAUCCUUUUCUGGGGGAAUGGGGUCGAUGAGAGCAACCUCCUAGGGUUGUUGUGAGAAUUAAAUGAGAUAAAAGAGGCCUCAGGCAGGAUCUGGCAUAGAGGAGGUGAUCAGCAAAUGUUUGUUGAAAAGGUUUGACAGGUCAGUCCCUUCCCACCCCUCUUGCUUGUCUUACUUGUCUUAUUUAUUCUCCAACAGCACUCCAGGCAGCCCUUGUCCACGGGCUCUCCUUGCAUCAGCCAAGCUUCUUGAAAGGCCUGUCUACACUUGCUGUCUUCCUUCCUCACCUCCAAUUUCCUCUUCAACCCACUGCUUCCUGACUCGCUCUACUCCGUGGAAGCACGCUCACAAAGGUUCCCAGUGCCCCCGACAAGCCCCUGCUGGUGUCUCCAUCUCCUGCCAAGCAUCCUCCAGUGCCUCCUCCUGUGGGCCUGGCCUCAGGGCUAUGGACAGACUCCUGUCCCAUCCCAGAGACCCCUCGUGAUCGUGCCCUGGCACGUGGGCCGUGGCCCGGCUGGGUCGGCUGAAGAACUGCGGAUGGAAGCUGCGGAAGAGGCCCUGAUGGGGCCCACCAUCCCGGACCCAAGUCUUCUUCCUGGCGGGCCUCUCGUCUCCUUCCUGGUUUGGGCGGAAGCCAUCACCUGGAUGCCUACGUGGGAAGGGACCUCGAAUGUGGGACCCCAGCCCCUCUCCAGCUCGAAAUCCCUCCACAGCCACGGGGACACCCUGCACCUAUUCCCACGGGACAGGCUGGACCCAGAGACUCUGGACCCGGGGCCUCCCCUUGAGUAGAGACCCGCCCUCUGACUGAUGGACGCCGCUGACCUGGGGUCAGACCCGUGGGCUGGACCCCUGCCCACCCCGCAGGAACCCUGAGGCCUAGGGGAGCUGUUGAGCCUUCAGUGUCUGCAUGUGGGAAGUGGGCUCCUUCACCUACCUCACAGGGCUGUUGUGAGGGGCGCUGUGAUGCGGUUCCAAAGCACAGGGCUUGGCGCACCCCACUGUGCUCUCAAUAAAUGUGUUUCCUGUCUUAACAA